rnacentral:lncRNA from 1 species
GACUAUUUAGUGGUAAUACUUGCACUCAGCUCACUAGUAACACACGUACUCACUAGUGCAGCUCAGGACAAACACACACACACGAGGAGGAGUACUACUUGAGGCUGAUUGCCUUGCUUUCGUUGGAAUGGAAUGCGUUACAGCGACGGAGCUCGGCUCCUUAUAUAGGCUAGCGAACCGACUAUGGUACGUAACGGGUGACGUCAAGCACAUGAGUGAGCUCAUGGCUUACGUAUAUUUCCUUAGCUACUAAGGCUACAGCAGCUGCAGUCAUUUAUUCAUUUUUCACUGCUGCCGACAUGCAACCAUGCAUGCAUCUGAGACUAGCUACGUAAAUGCUGCUGCUGCCAUUGUGUGCACUGGAAGACCAAGGUUGACUCAACAUUCUCCCCCUCAACCUUGUAGAAGGAGCUUGGUGUCGAUGAUCCCGACCUUGUCGCGCAGCUCCUGGAACCGGACACGACCAAGUGACUUGGUCAGGAUGUCCGCCUUCUGUUCACCAGUCCUGACGAACUCCACGAUCACCGAGCCUUUCUCGACGCAGUCACGUAUGAAGUGAUAGCGGAGAUCGAUGUGUUUGCUGCGGUCGUGAAGCACUGGAUUCUUACCGAGGGAAAUCGCCGACUUGUUGUCGACGAAGAUGAGCGCAGGGGCGGUGUCCUGAUUCAGCAUCUCGCCGAUAAGGCGAGCAAGCCAAAUGCCUUGACAGGCUGCUGUAGCUGCCGCGAUGUACUCCGCCUCGCACGAAGAUACGGCGACAACCUUCUGCCUCACCGAUUGCCAGCUGACGGGACUAUUCCCGAGAAGGAAUAGUAUGCCCGAGGUGCUCUUCCGGGAGUCCACGUCACCAGCGUGGUCAGAGUCGCUGUAUCCGACCAAGCUUUCGCCGUCGCCACGAUGAUACACGCAUCCAUGCGUGAGCGUACCCGCGAUGUACCGGAGCAGGUGCUUGACAGCAGCGAGGUGAUCGCUUGCCGGGGCUUCCAUGAACCUACUCAGGUACCCGACAACGAACGUGAUGUCCGGUCGGGUGUGCACGAGGUACCUGAGACUCCCGAUGAUGCUACGGUAGAGUGUAGCAUCCACCGCCUUCUUGGAGCUCUCCUUGCUGAGCUUCAGCCGUGCCUCCAUUGGAGCGUGCACGGCAUGACAGUCCUUCAUGCCUGCUCGCUCGAGCAUCUUGGUGGCGUAGGCCGUCUGCGUGAUCGUGAUGCGACCACCCUCCUGGUUCACCUCCAGCCCGAGGUAGUAACGGAGCAGCCCAAGGUCGCUCAUGCUGAAGAGAUGAUGCAUCUCUCCCUUGAAGCGUUGAACCUCUUUAGGCUCUGCCCCGAUAAUGACCAAGUCGUCGACGUAGAUGCGGACGAUGAGCAGCGUGUUCGCGGUGCCACGCGAGUACACACCAUGCUCAGAAGCGCUGCAUGAGAACCCAAGGGAUGCGAGGCUUGCAUCGAGCUUGGCGUUCCCCGCCCUUGGGGCUUGCCGGAGACCAUACAGGGCCUUGUGUAGUCGAUACACGCCCUGCUCGUGGCCCUUGGCAACGAACCCGGGUGGUUGGGAGACGUACACCUCCUCGUUAAGGUCGCCGUUGAGAAACGCCGACUUGACGUACAUGUGGUGUACCUCCCACCCGCGGUGAGCGGCCAGGGCAAGGAUGAGCCGCACCGACUCCAGCCUUGCCACCGGAGCGAAGACUUCCUCGAAGUCCACUCCCUCACGCUGCACGUAGCCCUUUGCGACGAGGCGCGCCUUGUGCAUGACAAUGGCACCGUGCUCGUCCUUCUUCACCUUGAACACCCACUUGAGCCCGAUGGCUCGGUGCCCAGCAAGCAGUGUGGUGAGUGUCCAAAUGGCGUUGUCGUUGAUCGACGCCAGCUCGUCCAACAUCGCGUGGCGCCAGCAAUCCUCUUGCUCGGCCUCCGCGAAUGUGGUCGGCUCCUCGCCGGCCAUCAGAUGCAAGACGUCGUCGUCAUCAACAUCCUCUUCCUCGGGCUGUUGCGGUGUUGCCACAGCCUCGUCGAGGAGAUCCCCCAUGCGCCGAAACCUGUGGGGGGCGCCAACACUGUCGUCGGCGUCGAACAACUCCGACCUUGCUGUUGGCGGGGUCGCGAACAGCCUCCCGGGAACCACCUUGCUUGAUGUCGGGGUGUCUGGGGACACCAUACCCGGGGACGGUGUUCUCGGGGUUGCGGUUCCCGGAUCCACACCUCCCGGGCUUCCCGGCGUGGCAAUUCCUGAGGUCUUGCUUCUCGGGGUUGUAGAGUACAUCGGGUACUCCACAGUGAAGGAGCUGCUUGCCGGGGCCUCCCCCGACGCCUCCCAUGUCCAUCGCGCGUCUUCGUCGAAGAUGACGUCGCGAGAGACAUGUACGCGCUUUGAGACGGGGUCGUACAUCUUGUACGCCUUAGAGCCCGUCUCGUAGCCCAUGAACACCAUUGCGGUGCUCCUGUCGUCGAGCUUCUUCAGCUGUGGGCGCGUCGUCUUGACGUGCCCGACGCAGCCAAAGGUACGAAGGAAGCGUACAUCGGGCUUCCUCCCAUACCACGCCUCGUAAGGCGUCUUGCCGUCGACGCUCCUUGUGAAGGAGCGGUUGAGGAUGAAGACGGCCGUGAGCACGGCCUCCCCCCAAUACGUGCUCGGCACCUGUUUUGCCUUGAGCAUGCAGCGUGCCAUCCCGAGCACCGUUUGGUUCCUCCGCUCGACGACGUCAUUUUGCUGUGGCGAGUAAGGGGCUGUGAGGUGACGUUGCACCCCUUUCUCGUCGCAGUGCUUGUAGAACGUGGUCGACGUGAACUCACCGCCACGGUCCGUGCGCAGCACGCGCAGCUUGUGGCCACACUCGACCUCUGCUGCCGCUUGCUGCUUGACGAUGGCUCGCUCCGCCUCAUCCUUGGAGGCGAGGAGCAGCACCCACAUGAACCUGUUGUAGUCGUCGACGAGCAGCAGGAUGUAGCGACGCCCUCCUGGCGUUGCCGGGGUGAUUGGGCCACAGAGGUCCCCGUGAACCAGCUCCAGGGGUUUCUGCGCCCGAUAGCGUGCCUUCUCGGGAAACGGCAGACGCCGCUGCUUCCCCGCAAGACAUGCAUCACACAGCUUGUCGGCGUGCUUGAUGUGAGGUAGCCCACGAACGAGGUUGCCUCGCGCCAUCUUUCGCAACCCGUCAAAGUGCUGGUGUCCUAGCCGGGCAUGCCAACGCCACGCAUCGGAGACAUGGCCCACGGCAAGGCACACAGGAUGCACGGGUUGAAAGAAGAAUUUGUAGAGGCGGUUCGGCGAGCGGGUAACCUCGAUGAGCAGCCUCUUCUGCUGGUCGUGCACGGUGAGAACACCGCGCUGGAUGCCGAUGUCGAACCAGCCCUCGUCGAGUUGUCCGACACUCACGACGCUGCUUGUGAGCGCCGGGAUGAAGUAGACGUCCGUGAACGCCCUGUGAUCACCCCCUUUGUCGGCGAAGACGACGGUCCCGCGCCCGUGGAUCUCCACCACGGAUCCGUCCGCGAACUGCACCUUCCCGGUGAUUGAGCGGUCCAGCUCCACGAACGCAUCGAUCGAACCAGUCAUGUGGUUCGUGGCGCCGGUGUCGAGGAACCAACCCUCACUUUGCUUGCCGCCUGCAAGCGUGGGUGUGGUCACGGCUCUCUCCUCGCUGAGGAAGACGUAGCCGCACGCACAUGCCGUUGUCAGGGAGCCAUCUCCCGACAACACGGUGGACCCCGAACACUUUGUUGUCGGGGUGUGGCUGACCUGAGUCUCCGUAUGCUCCUGCACGGAGUCGAUGGUCGCCAGCAUCAUGGUCGGAGCAUGGUCCGCCAUAUGCGUCGUUGCCGCGCCAACUUGCGCGAUCUUGUCGGGUCCCGAGGUUGUCGGGGACGCCAUCGUCGGGGUGUGGCUUCCCCAUACCCGAGCCUUCAUCGCCUCCCAGUCGACAGGCCCCGAGAACGUCAUUGUCGAGGUGUGGCCUGUCACUGGAGUGAUGGUUCCCGUGGACGGGCUUCGUGCCUCCUGCACGGAAUGGGUGGUUGUCGGGGCCGUGGUCGUGGGAGACGCUGAGCUCUCCUACACGGGCUCGACUCUUGCCAGCAUCAUUGCCGGCCCACCAUCCACGUCAGCCUGGACGAGGUUUGCCGUUGCCGCGGCUGCCUCGUCGGCUUUCCUCCUGUGACAAUCCCGGAUCCAGUGACCCGGCAUGUUGCAGUAGCGGCACUUGCCACCGUUGCCAGCGCCUCGCCCUGCCUGGCUUGGCCUGCGACCGCGGUUGCCGCCACCGCUCUGGGCACGGCCUCCGCCUCUGCCGCGACCUCUGCUUCCCGUGGGGGCGCCUCCCCCACUGCCGGAAGAGCCGUCGCGGCCGCGCUGCUGAAGCUGCACGUCCCACUGCUCCCUGGUGAGCAGUAGUUCGCCGCCAGCAUGGUGUUGGCGUCGUCGCCGCGCUCCUCGACGACCUUCAGCCUCCCUACUAGCUCCUCGAUCGUCAUGGUGGAGAGAUCCACCAAGCUCUCGAUGGACCAGGCCAGUUGCUUGUACUGCCUGGGGACGACGCGGAGAAACUUGAGAAUCACCAUCUUGUUGUCGAUGGGAUCUCCGAGCGUUGUGAGCUCGUUGACGAGACCUUGCAGCCACAAGGCGAAGUCAUCGACUUGUUCACCGGCCUUGAACCGGAUCUCCUCGUACUGGAGGCGCAAGGUCUGGGCCUUCGACUCCCGUACGCACUCCACGCCGAUGCGCAGAGUCUUGAUGUUCUCCCAUGCUUCCUUGGCCGUCUUCUUGGCGCCAAGGGUGAGCACCAUCUCCUCUGGGACGGAGCGCAAGAUCGCCUCCAUCGCCAGCCGGUCCUCCUCAUACUCGACAUCGCCGGUUUCCACGGCUUUCCACAUAUGUCGCGCCUCCAUGAAGACUUUCAUCAUGACCGACCAACUAGGGUAGUUGGUCCGCGUGAGGAGGGGAAGGAGGUGCUGGACAUGCCCACGUCUCGCACGGAGCGUGGCGCACCUAGCUCACCUCCCGGCCUUCCUCGCAGCGCGAGCGCGUCCGCCGCACGGGUGUCCUCAGCCGAGCUCUGCUCGGUGGUCUUGGAACCGUCAUCGGCGACGCCUCCUUUCGGCAUAUGCUUCGGCAUAACCCGAGGCUCUGAUGCCAAUUGUUAGCCCAGAACUACUUGCUAGCACUCGAGUACACUGAUACACGACCGGCGNNNNNNNNNNNNNNNNNNNNNNNNNNNNNNNNNNNNNNNNNNNNNNNNNNNNNNNNNNNNNNNNNNNNNNNNNNNNNNNNNNNNNNNNNNNNNNNNNNNNNNNNNNNNNNNNNNNNNNNNNNNNNNNNNNNNNNNNNNNNNNNNNNNNNNNNNNNNNNNNNNNNNNNNNNNNNNNNNNNNNNNNNNNNNNNNNNNNNNNNNNNNNNNNNNNNNNNNNNNNNNNNNNNNNNNNNNNNNNNNNNNNNNNNNNNNNNNNNNNNNNNNNNNNNNNNNNNNNNNNNNNNNNNNNNNNNNNNNNNNNNNNNNNNNNNNNNNNNACACGACCGGCGGAAGAGCCAAGUGCUACUACUGCGUGCGCUCAGGCAGUAGUAGCACUUGGCUCUUCCACCGGUCGUGUAUCAGUGUACUCGAGUGCUAGCGAGUAGUUCUGGGCUAACAAUUGGUAUCAGAGCCUCAGGUUAUGCCGAAGCAUAUGCCGAAGGAAGGCGUCGCCGGCGACGGCUCCAAGACCGCCGGGCAGAGCUCGGCUGAGGACACCCGUGCGGCGGACGCGCUUGCGCUGCGAGGCAGGCCGGGAGGUGAGCUGGGUGCGCCACGCUCCGUGCGAGACGUGGGCAUAUCCAGUACCUCCUUCCCUCUCCUCCCGCGGACCAACUACCCCAGUUGGUCCGUCAUGAUGAAAGUCAUCAUGGAGGCGCGGCAUAUGUGGAAAGCCGUGGAAACCGGCGAUGUCGAGUACGAGGAGGACCGGCUGGCGAUGGAAGCGAUCUUGCGCUCCGUCCUAGAGGAGAUGGUGCUCACCCUUGGCGCCAAGGAGACGGCCAAGGAAGCAUGGGAGACCAUCAAGACUCUGCGCAUCAGCGUGGAGCGCGUACGGGAUUCGAAGGCCCAGACCUUGCGCCUCCAGUACGAGGAAAUCCGGUUCAAGGCCGGUGAACAAGUCGACGACUUCGCCUUGCGGCUGCAAGGUCUCGUCAACGAGCUCGCAACGCUCGGAGAUCCCAUCAACAACAAGAUGGUGAUUCUCAAGUUCCUCCGCGUCGUCCCCAGGCAGUACAAGCAACUGGCCUGGUCCAUUGAGAGUUUGGUGGAUCUCUCCACCAUGACGAUCGAGGAGCUGGUAGGGCGGCUGAAGGUCGUCGAGGAGCGCGGCGACGAAGCCGACAACCAUGCUGGCGGCGAACUACUGCUCACCAAGGAGCAAUGGGACGCGCAGCUUCAGCAGCGCGGCCGCGAUGGCUCUUCCAGUAGUGGGGGAGGCGCCCCCACGGGAAGCAGAGGUCGCGGCACAGGCGGAGGCCGCACCCAGAGCGGUGGCGGCAACCGCGGUCGCAAGCCAAGCCGGGCAGGGAGAGGCGCUGGCAACGGUGGCAAGUGCCGCUACUGCAACAUGCCGGGUCACUGGAUCCGGGAUUGCCACAGGAGGAAAGCCGACGAGGCAGCCGCGGCAACGGCAAACCUCGUCCAGGCUGACGUGGAUGGUGGGCCGGCAAUGAUGCUGGCAAGAGUCGAGCCCGUGCAGGAGAGCUCAGCGUCUCCCACGACCACGGCCCCGACAACCACCCAUUCCGUGCAGGAGGCACGAAGCCCGUCCACGGGAACCAUCACUCCAGUGACAGGCCACACCUCGACAAUGACGUUCUCGGGGCCUGUCGACUGGGAGGCGAUGAAGGCUCGGGUGUGGGGGAGCCACACCCCGGCGACGGCAUCCCCGACAACCUCGGGACCCGACAAGGUCGCGCGAGUUGGCGCGGCAAUGACGCAUAUGGCGGACCAUGCUCCGACCAUGAUGCUGGCGACCAUCGACUCCAUGCAGGAUCGCACGGAGACUCAGGUCAUCCACACCCCAACGCCGAAGUGUUCGGGGUCCACCAUGAUGAUGGGAGAUGGCUCCCCGACAACGGCAUGUGCGUGCGGCUACGUCUUCCUCAGCGAGGAGAGAGCCGUGACCACACCCACGCUUGCAGGCGGCAAGCAAAGUGAGGGUUGGUUCCUCGACACCGGCGCCACGAACCACAUGACUGGUUCGGUCGACGCGUUCGCGGAGCUGAACCGCUCAAUCACCGGGAAGGUGCGGUUCGCGGACGGAUCCGUGGUGGAGAUCCACGGGCGCGGGACCGUUGUCUUCGCCGACAAAGGGGGUGAUCACAGGGCGUUCACGGACGUCUACUUCAUCCCGGCGCUCACGAGCAGCGUCGUGAGUGUCGGACAACUCGACGAGGGCUGGUUCGACAUCGGCAUCCGGCGCGGUGUUCUCACCGUGCACGACCAGCAGAAGAGGCUGCUCAUCGAGGUUACCCGCUCGCCGAACCGCCUCUACAAAUUCUUCUUUCAACCCGUGCAUCUUGUGUGCCUUGCCGUGGGCCAUGUAUCUGACGCCUGGCGUUGGCAUGCCCGGCUAGGACACCAGCACUUCGACGGGUUGCGAAAGAUGGCGCGAGGCAACCUCGUUCGUGGGCUACCUCACAUCGAGCACGCCGACGAGCUGUGUGAUGCAUGUCUUGCAGGGAAGCAGCGGCGUCUGCCGUUUCCCAAGAAGGCAUGCUAUCGGGCACAGAAACCCCUGGAGUUGGUUCACGGGGACCUCUGCGGCCCAAUCACCCCGGCAACGCCAGGAGGGCGUCGCUACAUCCUGUUGCUCGUCGACAACUACAGCAGGUUCAUGUGGGUGCUGCUCCUCGCCUCCAAGGAUGAGGCGGAGCGAGCCAUCGUCAAGCAGCAAGCGGCAGCAGAGGUCGAGUGCGGCCACAAGCUGCGCGUGCUGCGCACGGACCGUGGCGGUGAGUUCACGUCGGCCACGUUCUACAAGCACUGCGACGAGAAAGGGGUGCAACGUCACCUCACAGCCCCUUACUCGCCGCAGCAGAACGGCGUCGUCGAGCGGAGGAACCAGACAGUGCUUGGGAUGGCACGCUGCAUGCUCAAGGCAAAACAGGUGCCGAGCACGUAUUGGGGGGAGGCCGUGCUCACGGCCGUCUUCAUCCUCAACCGCUCCUUCACAAGGAGCGUCGACGGAAAGACGCCUUACGAGGCGUGGUAUGGGAGGAAGCCAGAUGUACGCUUCCUCCGUACCUUUGGCUGCGUCGGGCACGUCAAGAUGACGCGCCCGCAGCUGAAGAAGCUCGACGACAGGAGCACCCAAAUGGUGUUCAUGGGCUACGAGACGGGCUCUAAGGCGUACAAGAUGUAUGACCCCGUCUCAAAGCGUGUGCAUGUCUCUCGUGACGUCAUCUUCGACGAAGACGCGCGAUGGACUUGGGAGGCGUCGGGGGAGGCCCCGGCAAGCAGUUCCUUCACUUUGGAGUACCCGAUGUACUCUACAACCCCGAGAAGCAAGACCUCGGGAAUUGCCAUGCCGAGAAGCCCAGGAGGUGUGGUUCCGGGAACCGCAACCCCGAGAACACCGUCCCCGGGUAUGGUGUCCCCAGACACCCUGACAUCAAGCAAGGUGGUUCCCGGGAGGCUGUUCGUGACCCCGCCAACAGCAAGGUCGGAGUUGUUUGACGCCGACGACAGUGUUGGCGCCCCCCAUAGGUUUCGGCGCAUGGGGGAUCUCCUCGGCGAGGCUGCGGCAACACCGCAACAUCUCGAGGAUAAGGACGCUGAUGACGAUGAGGUCUUGCAUCUGAUGGACGGCGAGGAGCCGACCACGUUCGUGGAGGCCGAGCAAGAGGAUUGCUGGCGCCACGCGAUGCUGGACGAGCUGGCGUCGGUCAACGACAACGCCACUUGGACACUCACCACACUGCCUGCUGGGCACCGAGCCAUCGGGCUCAAGUGGGUGUUCAAGGUAAAGAAGGACGAGCACGGUGCCAUUGUCAAGCACAAGGCGCGCCUCAUCGCAAAGGGCUACGUGCAGCGUGAGGGAGUGGACUUCGAGGAAGUCUUCGCUCCGGUGGCAAGGCUGGAGUCGGUAUGGCUCAUCCUUGCCGUGGCCGCUCACCGCGGGUGGGAGGUACACCACAUGGAUGUCAAGUCGGCAUUUCUCAACGGUGACCUUAACGAGGAGGUGUACGUCUCCCAGACACCCGGGUUCGUUGCAAAGGGCCACGAGCAGGGCGUGUAUCGACUACACAAGGCCCUGUAUGGUCUCCGGCAAGCCCCAAGGGCGUGGAAUGCCAAGCUCGAUGCAAGCCUCGCAUCCCUUGGGUUCUCACGCAGCGCUUCUGAGCAUGGUGUGUACUCGCGUGGCACCGCGAACACGCUGCUCAUCAUCGGCAUCUACGUCGACGACUUGGUCAUUACCGGGGCAGAGCCUAAAGAGGUUCAACGCUUCAAGGGAGAGAUGCAUCGUCUCUUCAGCAUGAGCGACAUUGGGCUGCUCCGUUACUACCUCGGGCUGGAGGUGUACCAGGAGGAUGGUCGCAUCACGAUCACACAGACGGCCUACGCCACCAAGAUGCUCGAGCGAGCAGGCAUGAAGGACUGCUAUGCUGUACAUGCUCCAAUGGAGACACGGCUGAAGCUCAGCAAGGAGAGCCCCGAGAAGGCGGUGGAUGCCACACUCUACCGUAGCAUCAUCGGGAGUCUCAGGUACCUCGUGCACACCCGACCGGACAUAACGUUUGUUGUUGGGUACCUGAGUAGGUUCAUGGAAGCUCCGGCAAGCGAUCACCUGGCUGUCGUCAAGCACCUGCUCCGGUACAUCGCGGGUACGCUCACGCAUGGAUGCGUGUAUCGUCGUGGCGACGGUGAGAGCUUGGUCGGGUACAGUGACUCCGACCACACUGGUGACGUGGACUCUCGAAAGAGCACCUCAGGCAUACUAUUCCUUCUCGGGAAUAGUCCCGUCAGCUGGCAAUCGGUGAGGCAGAAGGUUGUCGUUGUAUCUUCAUGCGAGGCAGAGUACAUCGCGGCAGCUACAGCGGCAUGUCAGGGGAUUUGGCUUGCUCGCCUUCUCGGCGAGAUGCUGAAUCAGGACACCGCCCCUGCGCUCAUCUUCGUCGACAACAAGUCGGCGAUUUCCCUAUGUAAGAAUCUAGUGCUUCACGACCGCAGCAAACACAUCGAUCUCCGCUAUCACUUCAUACGUGACUGCGUCGAGAAAGGCUCGGUGAUCGUGGAGUUCAUCAGGACUGGUGAACAGAAGGCGGACAUCCUGACCAAGUCACUUGGUCGUGUCCGGUUCCAGGAGCUGCGCGACAAGGUCGGGAUCAUCGACAUCAAGCUCCUUCGACAAGAUUGAGGGGGAGAAUGUUGUGUCAAACUUGUCUCCGAAGGCUGCAUGUCGGCAGCAUGCAUGCACCAGGGUAGUGUUACUUAGCUACGAAGGGAGUAGCAGUAAGUUUGCAAGACCAUUUUGUUUUCUCUACUAUUGUAGAUCAGCAUAGCGUGCAGGUCGGCAAGUCGUAAGAAGCCGUAGCUUACUGGUUAAGGUAAGUCUGUGACGUAAGUGCUUAGCUAAGAGCUAGCAGAUAUUUUAGCCCAUAGUCGGUUUGUAAGCACUAUAUAAGGGGCUGCACUCCACCCGGUUGUAGCAUUCCAUUCCAAGCCAAGAGCUAAUAUAAGUACUACUGCUAGAUACUCGCGUGUGUGUGUGUGAGCUACACCAGUGAGUGUACGCUUCACUAGCGUCUUUGAGCACAGCAAGCUCAGAGAGUAGAGCGAGAGUAGUGGUCAGCAGCGUAGCUCGGGCUAACAAUUGGUAUCAGAGCCGGCGAAUUGUUAGCCGGUCGUGUAUCAGUGUACUCGAGUGCUAGCGAGUAGUUCUGGGCUAACAAUUCGCCGGCGACGCCUUCCUUCGGCAUAUGCUUCGGCAUAACACGAGGAGGAGUACUACUUGAGGCUGAUUGCCUUGCUUUCGUUGGAAUGGAAUGUGUUACAGCGACGGAGCUCGGCUCCUUAUAUAGGCUAGCGAACCGACUAUGGUACAUAACGGGUGACGUCAAGCACAUGAGUGAGCUCAUGGCUUACAUAUAUUUCCUUAGCUACUAAGGCUACAUCAGCUGCAGUCAUUUAUUCAUUUUUCACUGCUGCCGACAUGCAACCAUGCAUGCAUCUGAGACUAGCUACGUAAAUGCUGCUGCCAUUGUGUGCACUGGAAGACCAAGGUUGACUCAACACGUGAGGACGAUGAAGUGGCGGCGGUUGGUGUAGGGCACGGUCUCGAAGGUGCCGUAGCAGAUCGUGACCGCGCCGCCGACGAUGAUGACGACCCCCGCGAAGCCUAUGUGGGAUUUCACGUCGCUGGAACUUCUCGGCCGGCUGGAGGAGUAGUGCCGUGGGCGUGGGAGUUGGACCGCUGGCGCAUGCAGCGACGUCGACGGCGGUGGUCGACGCACGAGAGAGUCACGUUGGAAGAGGCGGCCAAGGCCAGGCGGCGAUCGCAGGGCCUCGUGAGAUCGCCGCGUCGACGGCGCGUGGUAGCAGCGCGGGCGCGGGGCGGUGGACGACGGCAGUGGAAGAGGCGUUCGGAUAGCGGGCUUGGACCGCAGUAGCCCGGACAGCGCGGGGCGGAGAUUCCUAAUGAACGCGCCCAUGUUCUCUCAGUUAGAUUGGUGGAUGCUUUUCGGGGCGCCGCUGGCCGGGAUGCCUCUUGGGGACGUACGGGCGCUCUCGGAUCCGUAUCGUAACAAUGUCGUCUACGUCGUGGCGCGGUCGACAGGUUGCCAUGAUUUAUUAGGGCUGCGCCAUACCUGUAGCCAUGUCCGUCUCGGUCUUGUUAUGUGUUUUGUCCAAUGUGGUACGACCUUCUUCUACAAGUACUGGAGUCUGAGGUUCAUAGGGUCUCCUCCUCCGAUCGAUUCUACUUAGUACGGAGUACUAGGGAUGCAGGCAGAUGGAUUAAUAAGCGUGCUCCCGGACGCGCACGGGCUCCCGGACGCCGCCCGCCUGCAUGCCUAAUCUAGUAGUACCAGCAGAGGGAUUGAAAUGCAAUUGGUAUAUAUAGUGUGAGACUGAAACAUGAAAUUGAAAUUGAAAUUUCUAGACCGCAUCCAUUUCAAUUUCCAGUCCAGUUUCAUGUACUGCAUCCAUUUCAAUUAAUGUGAGGCCGAAACAUGCAAUUGAAAUGCCACUAUAUAUAUAAUGUGGGAAUGAAAUAUGGAAUUGGAAUUGAAAUUUCCGGACCGUGUCCAUUUCAAUUUCCAAACCAAUUUCAGUUGCACAUCCAUUUCAUCUCCCACAUAUUUUAUUUAAUGUGAGGCUGAAAUACUCCCUCUAUUUUUGUAUACAAGGCCACAAACCCAUAUUACAGGUACCAAAGUAAAAAUUAAUACUUACUUAGGCCAAUGUUACAAACUAGUCUUUUCUCCUCGCUUGACAUAUUAAUUAAUGUGUAUUUUUCUCUUCAACGCACAACAAGACAACUCUCUCACUCCUCGUUGAUUGAUUAAUAUGGUGCAUUAAAACCAAUCUUCUCACUCCCAUAUGCAUGCAAGGCCUAUUAAUGUCCUUGGUUGCUAGUACGAGGCAAGCCUCAUCAAUAUUACCUCAAUCGAUGUUAGUGGCCUUGUAUACCUGCAAAUUGUAAUUUUGAUAGUGGCCUUGUAUACAAAAAUGGAGGGAGUAUGAAAAUUAAUUUUCACGUCAUGACUAUCAAUGUGAAACUGAAAUGGCGAAAACUGAACAACUUCAAAAUUUAUCAACAUUUUAUGUUGUUUUAAUGAUCUCGUCGCCGCGAAUUCGAAUAAAAAAAAUUGGAGAUGGAAUUUUGGUUUAGAAGAUAUGAGUGAUUUACAAUGUCACUGUGAAAUAAAAGGGUUGGCUUUUGUAUGGGAGACAAAGGAUAUAAAACAUGCAUGCACCAUCCUUCUCUGCGCUUUCUCUUUCUCUUUCCUGACAAGAUGACAAAAAGCUCAUAUACAUGCAAAGAUCCCUAAAAAGUGUUGAACGAUGGAUGCUUUCCAUGUACAUACAUCCUCCGCUAGAAAAUGUAAUUUUUUCUUCAACUUACCCUCCCUCCUCAGGCAGUUGAAGCACACCCCCAUCCUCUGUGCCGCAACCUCACGACACACUGAAGGGUCAGCAGCCUCCUGACUUUGUUUCUGAAGUACAUGGCCCUUCGCCAAGGCCGAGGGUUUCCCUGUUUGACAUGCCAAAUAAUGAUGGACCUCAAAAUCGGCUAUAGCGGGCUAUUUGUACAUAAGACCAUUUAGCGGCACCCUGUCGAAAAGGCUAUAGCGGAGCUAUAGCCGGCUAUUUAAAACUAUGCGUGCAACCUUUAAUGUUUUCUUCACACGCAAAUGUAGCAUUUGUGAGUGGUGUCCAUGAUGUAUGGACAUGCUCUAAGAAAAAUAUGACACGACAAAAGUUUCACCUGAUCAAUUCUUACUGCUAGUGGAGUGAUGAUGCACACAAAAUUCAAAAGAUUAUAGGUUGAACUCGCUGUGCCCGUACCCCUCGGGUCGCCCCCGUGGGCGACCAGGGGGAAACCCUAGCCGCCAGCACCCGUACUCCCCCGCAUCUCCUUCAUCCUCGCCACCGCCAGCGGCGCCGCUGGGCGAAGCCAGGCCGGCAGGGGCGGCGGCGGGGCUCCCUUCCCCUUCACGCGAAUAGGCUGGCGCGGGACGGCCGUUCGAGAGGAGGCGCCGUACUUUUGCGGGGUGCGGCGGCGCUGCAGAUGGAUCCUGGCCGCGACAUGCGCAGCGCGCCGGCGGUUGGGUUCGUGCUCGCGGCGUGGUGCGGCCGCUGGAUCUGGUGGUCGCCUGCGCAGUUGGUCUCGGGUCAGAUCCUUCUGGAUCCGGUGCGUGAUCGCCGUCAGGCGGCGCAGGAUGGUGGCUUUCGUCGCUGACCAGGUCAGGUUUUCUUUGAUCCGGCGCCUGAAUGGAUCUACACGGAGGUGUUGAGCCUUAUGGUGCUUUUCUCUCUGGAGUUUUCGGGUCUUGGCUGCUGCCGGAUCCAAAGCAGAUGGAGAUUGGUGGUACAGGAAGAGGACUGGAGGAAACUUUGGUCGGCUAGCUCGGCCCGGCAUCAGCUAUGGCUUUGACGUCGUUACCCAUCUUGAAGGCGAAGUGGAGGUCCCUCCUAUCCACCUCCGUCCUGUUCCCGGAUGAAAGUCCAAAAUCCGUCUUGGAUUGGACGGCUGCGGCGCCCUUUGCGUCGUAACCUCCAUGGAGGCGCCGUCUUGGGAGGCUUGGGCAUUCGGGGGAGUUGCUAUGGGUGAAGGGCUUCGUGUGUCAGCUCCAGCAGCGGCAAUGGUGUGGAGGUUGGCAGGAGGAGCGGCGUUCUAACCGCGUCAGAUGCGUCUGGUAAGAGAUGUCAAGUCAUGCAUGUCUGACAGGUGCUAUGCUGAGUCAUGCCUAGUCGGCAGGUGCUACGCACGACAGAUCUUUCAGUGUCCGCGUCGGGAUGGACGAGCGCAGAGCGGUGGAGCUGUCUGGCGUCGUGGUGGCGUCGACGGUAGCUAGACCAUGCAAGGUAGAUGCAACAGUACAGCUCUGAAGAUGGUUUGGUGGCAGGUGGCUGCGGCGGCCUCAUACCCGGCAGGCGUCCUGGUUGAGGAGUGCGCCGGACUGGUAGGUGCCCCAUACCUGGCAGGCGUCCUGGUUGGGACCUCAGGUCUUAGAUGUUUAGGUUUGGCUGCGAUGUCUGUUUGGUAUUAGGUCCAGACUAUCAGCGCCUCUUCAUCGAUUGGAUAGGUGUAGCGACAGUUGUUGCUUAGAAAGUGGCUUUAGUCUUGCUGUUGUAUGACUUUGUAAGGUCUUGUGAGAAUAAUUAAUAAAGUGGCCGUAUGCAUCGCCCAGAUGCAGAGGCCGGGGGUCAUCCUCCUUUUCUAAAAAAAAGUGGAGUGAUGAUGCUAUGUGAAGUGCUCAAAUGACUAUAUCUAUAUCUAUACCUACUAUUAAAAGGAGGUGAUAUUCUUGGUUUCAUCCCGUUUUGUUUGGUCCCGCUUCAAUUAAUUUCGCGUACACUAUUUGCUUUCGUUAUUUGCCACCCGUUUUGGCCCAAUGGAGGAAGCCCAUCCUGGUGGCGCAUUGUGGCCCAGGUCCGGAGAAAAAUAAAAUUGCCAGUGGGAGGGUUUGAUCUCAUAACCUGUCAACCGGCCACGCACAGUUUGUCCAACUGACCCAACUAAAGAUAUGAGUGUUUUUUUCUCCCGUUGCAACGCACGGACUUUUUUGCUAGUUCAGUUUAUAGGUUUGUUCCUGCUAACCAAAUGUAUUGUUUAUGGAUAUUCAUUUGAUUAGUUCACGAGUAAAUGUUGAAGUAUGGAUGUACAACACUAACAUAGUCUUGUGCUCAGACUGAAUCGUAUUUGUUUUGUGUGAUCUUUUCAGCACAUGAAGCUCGAUGAGCAAGAAGCACUAUAAUUGGAGGCCGAUUUUUUUUAUAGCAAUGGUUGUUCAAUGGUGAUCAUUUCAGUCCAUUUCCAGUCUUGUUGGUCAUGUACUAGAAAUGACCCUAUCAUGCAAUGUGUCACUGGAUAUGUAUGUGUGUCUCUUGUGUAUGCCCAGGAUGCUCCAUAUUGACAAGUACUCAGAUUGUGUGCAUGGGAUGUCCCUGUUUGACAUGUACUCAAAUAUUUGUACAAGAGAUGGCUCAGUUUGACAUGUACUCAAAUAUUUACCCAUAUGUUUUUGCCUGGGAUGGUCUAGCUUGACAUGUACCCAUAUAUUUGUGCCUGGGAUGGUCUAGCUUGACAUGUACUCAAAUAUUUGUGCCCAGGAUGGUCUAGUUUGAAAUGUAAUUGAAAGGGAUGGCUCAAUUUUCUCAGCACACUAAUAUCUCUGAUAGAUAUUGAGAUACUUUUUGUAUAAUCAGUGAUGCAGUAGAAGCUAUGAGGAUAUGUGCACAGAGGAGGCAUCAACGCUGUCAGGAUUUGAAAAAUACUCUUAUUUAUCAAUGACAAAACGAUGGGAUACGAGAAAGGUGAGGUGGUUACUGUAAAAGUCGUUUUCAUAAAAUGUACAUCAUGUCACCUGGGAUAUCUCCACCUGGAUCUGGGCCACUCAUCUCCAAUCCAAUGUUCCAUGUUCCUUUUUCUAUUUUUGCACCCAAUGCCCAGAUUCUAUAUACUAAUCCCUCCCGUAUAUAUGUGCCUAUACGGUGAUCACUGUGUAGGGAUAAGGCCUAACUGCUCGUAUAAUGUCAAUUAUUUUAAGAUAAUAUAAAUGUUUGGACAAAAAACAACCUUUACAAGUUUUUAAAGGGGGUGCACGGAGGCAAAUGUCUCGAAUGUGUGUUGAUAAAAAGAUGACGAAUAAUCAUUGAUCAAUUUCUUCUUUUCUGGCUCUUGCUUCUGUAUAUAACGCCAUGGCCUUGUCCAUGACCUUGGCAUCCAAUAGAAGCUGCGUUCUUUUCUUGCUGCAAGGAUGAGUAGACAUGUACUCUUUCAACGAUGAUGAAUUCCCACCGACCUUUCCGAGCUUCUCGUAGACCUUAGGGGCAAUGCGUGGAUCAAAACCAGCGGAAGCGAGCAGCAUGAUUCCAAUGUGAUCCGCCUCUAUCUCCAUCCUACAUAGGAUAUAUAGGCAACAUGUAUCAAUCAUGCAUGGAGACUUUUACGAGGAGAAAUAGUUGUAAAUCAGCAUGAACGAUAUGAUGUGAAACCGAGUAUAUACUUUCGUGAGAAAGGCAGGCUGAGGAGGUAUUCGGUCAGCUUAUCAAUAAGGUCCGGCGCAUCGAUAAAGAUGAGCAGGAAAACCGUGAGCAUGAAAAUCCACAUGUGCUUGGUGAGCUUCUCUGCGGCGUGCCUUGCAAUGGCGUGCGCAACCUACAAGCAAAAUAAGGUCCGGCCGGCUGCUACGACUACGAGACGAUACAAAUAACCACCCAAUAUAAUCUACCUGGCACAGUAUGUACAUACCUCGUGCCCUAGCACCGCUGCGAUCUCAGCGUCGGUGUUGAACUUGUCGAGCAGGCCGGUGUAGACUAUGAUCUUGCCACCGGGUGCGCACAUGGCGUUCACUUGCUUAUUGUCGACCACGAUUACCUCCCACUUGAACCCGUCGAGAUGCUUGAUCAUUGCCUGCGACGCUCCCCGUGGAGCCUUCUUCUUCGGGCUCAGCGCCGCGUCGCCGGCGCAUGUUUCUCCAUCAAGGAGCUUAUCGUCCUCGUGGCCGGCGAGGCUGCGUCCGGCCGCGCCGAUGAUCUCCACGGCGAUGCUGUUGACACGGACGGAAUCAGGGUGGGACGGAGCGAGGACCUUGUCGCCCAGCUCCUUCUUCUCGUUGUUGAACUGCGACUCGCCGAGCUUAAGCUCUCCCGAGUGCGUGAGGACGACGAAGUGGCGGCGGUUUGUGUAGGGCACGGUCUCGAAGGUGCCGUAGCAGAUCGUGACCACCACACCGCCGACGAUGACGACCCCCGCGAUGACUAUCUGGACUUUCACCUCGUUAGAACUUCUUGGUCGCCUGGAGGAGUAGUACCGUGGGCGUGGGACCGCUGGCGCAUGCGGCGACGGCGGUGGUCGACGGACGAGAGAGUCACGGCCGGGCGAUUUCAGGGCCUCGUGAGAUCGCCGCGUUGACGGCGCGUGGUAGUAGCGCCUGGCGGUCGGCAGCGGCGGAACAGUCGUUCGGGCGGCGGGCUUGGGCCGGAGUAGCCCGGACAGCGCAGGGCGCAGAUUCCUGAUCAAGGCGCUCAUGUUCUCUCAGUUAG